GACGAACGCUGGCGGCGUGGAUUAGGCAUGCAAGUCGAACGGUAUCAUCCUUUCGGGGGUGAGAGAGUGGCGAACUGGUGAGUAACACGUAGGUUAUCUACCCUCAAGACGGGGACAACCCAGGGAAACUUGGGCUAAUACCGGAUGUGAGCAACUUUUAGUUGUUUGAAAGGUGGCGUAAGCUGUCGCUUGGGGAUGAGCCUGCGUCCUAUUAGUUAGUUGGUGAGGUAACGGCUCACCUAGGCAAUGAUAGGUAGGCGGCCUUAACGGGUGGUCGCCCACACUGGGAUUGAGAUACGGCCCAGACUCCUACGGGAGGCAGCAGUCGAGAAUAGUCUACAAUGGUCGGAAGACUGAUAGUGCGACGCCGCGUGAACGAUGAAUCCCUUCGGGGUGUAAAGUUCUUUUAUAUGUGAGCAGUGCUUCUUAUAUUAACAGUAUGGGGAGAGAGAUAUUAGCAUAUGAAUAAGCAACGGCUAACUCCGUGCCAGCAGCCGCGGUAAACCU
rnacentral:rRNA from 1 species